rnacentral:rRNA from 1 species
AUGGCGAUGGUGUUGGAUGCAUUUUCAUCCUACUUGGUUGAUCUGCUCAAGCAGGUGGUACAGGAUGAGGUGGGAACAAUGCUGGGUGUCUCCGGUGAGAUCGAUAAGUUGGGCGACAAGCUUAAGGACCUCAAGAACUUCCUAGCCGACGCCGAUCGGAGAAACAUCACCGACGAGACUGUUAAUGUCUGGGUGGGGCAGCUCAAGCGCGCCAUGUACGAAGCUGCUGACAUCCUUGACCUCUGCCAGCUCAAGGCCAUGGAGCGUGGGUCUUCCUCCACAUAUGUAGGGUGUUGCAAUCCCUUGCUCUUUUGCAUGAGAAAUCCCUUCCAUGCUCGUGAGAUCGGCACCCGCAUCAAGGCGCUCAACCAAAAGCUCGACUCCAUCAAGGAGCGGAGCGCUGCUUUCAACUUCAUCAAUCUUGGCUCCUAUGAGGGUUGUCAUAGCAGCAAUGCCCAUGCCUCUCGUCAGGGUAAUCCUAGCCGGGAGACAUCUGGGGAGCUCGACCGGUCCAGUAUGGUUGGGGACAAGAUCGAGGAAGACACAAGAGCACUGGUUACCCAGAUCACGCGCUCUGGAAAUGAGGCCAGCAACAACAGUAUGGUGGUUGCUAUCGUAGGUGUUGGUGGGAUUGGCAAGACCACCCUCGCCCAGAAGGUCUUCAACGAUGAGGCCAUCCAAGGUGACUUCAGCAAAAAGAUAUGGUUGAGCGUCAACCAGAACUUUAGCGAGGUUGAGCUGCUGAGAAGAGCCAUCAUUGAAGUCAGAGGAGACGCUCAGCCAGUUGGAAAUGCAAAGGCCACGCUUCAACGAACCCUCAAGGAAGCCUUGAUUGGCCACAAGACCUUCUUGAUAAUGGAUGAUGUUUGGAACUAUAGAGCAUGGGAGGAUGUGCUCAAAACGCCGUUAGUCAAUGCUGCUGCUCCAGGCAGCCGUGUCCUCAUCACCACUAGAGAUGAAGGUGUAGCCCGAGGGGUGUCAGCUAUAUGGCCAUACCACCACAUCGACACAUUAGCACCCGACGAUGCUUGGUUAUUGCUCAAGACGCAGGUACUCUCAAGUGAGAAAGAUGAAGACCACAUCAAUAUGCUAAAGGAUAUUGGAUUGAAAAUUAUACAGAAAUGUGGUUAUUUACCACUUGCUGUUAAUGUAAUGGGAGGACUCUUGCGUGAAAGAGGGGGCCUACGCUGUGACUGGCAGCAGGUUUUGGAUGAUUCAGAAUGGUCAACAACUAAAAUGCCUGAAGAGCUCAACUAUGCAGUAUACUUAAGCUAUGAAUAUAUGCCUUCUUACUUGAAGCAGUGCUUUUUAUACUACUCUCUUCUUCCUAAAAGUAAGGCUUUUAGUCUGGAUCAAGUUGUUGCGAUGUGGAUAAGCGAAGGAUUUAUUCAUGGACACUCUAGUAAUUUAGAAGAAUUAGGAAGAAACUACUACAAGGAGUUGGUAUCUAGGAAUCUUAUUGAGCCAGAUAAAUCAUAUUUUCAUGAUCUAUGGGUUUGCAGCAUGCAUGAUGUUGUUCGCUCAUUUGCUCAAUAUAUGACUAAAGAUGAAGCACUCAUAGCUCACGACAGAGACAAUGAUAUUGUUAGUGAACUCAGUUCACAAAAGUUUCUUCGGUUGUCCAUAGAAACUAGCCGAUCUCAAUCAGAUGAACUUGACUGGAAAUCUCUACGGGCGCAACAAUCAGUGAGAACAUUAAUCUCAACUACCCAGAUCAAGAUGAAGCCUGGUGAUUCAUUGGUUACUUUUUCAAGUUUACGGACUUUAUAUAUAAAAUCUGUAGAUGUGACUAUAUUGGUUAAAUCGUUGCAUCAACUCAAGCACCUGAGGUAUUUGGAGCUAAUAAGUACUGAUAUAUCUGUACUUCCAGAGAACAUUGGCAAGAUGAAGUUAUUGCAAUUCCUUAGACUUGACCAAUGUGUAAAUUUGGUAAAUCUUCCUGAUAGCAUUGUGAAGCUUGGCCAGCUGAGGUUUCUUGGGCUUCCCUACACAAGUAUGAUACCUAGAGGGCUCUUUUGUCUGACAAGUCUGAGGAAACUGACUGGGUUUCGAGGCCACAUGGAUGGUGAUUGGUGCAGUUUGGACGAGUUGGGUUCUCUUUCCCAACUCAGACUUCUCAGUUUACAUUAA